ACAAUUCAUUUUCACAAAUUAAAGAAAAAGAUUCUAAUGUAGCGUAACUUUCUUUUUUAGAACUAGGUGAGAUUCUAGUUUUAGAAGUUAAAUUAUGUUUUACGAGAAUAAACAAAUCAAUGGUUGUACUUCGCUUGAGUAAAGCCAAUUGUAUAUCAAUACGUAAAUACGCCGUUUGUAUCCUUGACACUUUAUAUUGUAGUAUAUUCCUUUGUGUCUCGCGCAUGUUUGAAACUAUUGUAAUCGAUGCUGAGAGCCGGACAUAUGCGAAUGUCUGUCACGCAAUUUUUAGUCCGCGACUUAGAGGACUGUAUACUUCGAUCUACUUGUAGUAGUUAUUUUCAAGUUAUUAUUAUUAUUGUUAUUAUACAAGUUUCUACGGUAGAUUUUAAAGAAUCGAGAACAAUUUGAGGAUCGAUGCACAGACUCUUAUUAAAUGAUUAAUGCCUGACACGGAGGAGCUCAUAGGAAUUCAAGACUGAUUCUAAGUGGCGUGAUGUAUU
rnacentral:misc_RNA from 1 species